ensembl:lncRNA
GCUUUGGCUGCGUCGGGUUCCUGAGGGGGCAGUGGGAUGGGGGGAGGGGUCAGGCCAGGCCUCGUUGUCCCCAGCGGUCCUUAAGUGUCCCAAAAUUAGGGCAUGGGAUCUUGGAGAGGUUCCCUGGUCAUGACCGUGGCCAUGAGAUGAGAGUGACCAUGAGUGACACAGCCCUGAGAUGACCAUGGCCAUGGGAUGACCAUGACACAGCCACAGCCCCGACCAUGAGAUGAUUUGGACCAAGACCUGACCAUGGGUUGGCCAUGGCACCACCAUGGUCUUGAGGUGACCCUGGUGUGGUCAUCUCAUUGUCCUGAUCAUCUCAUGGUCGUGGUCGUGUCCUGAUCGCCAUCAUCUUAUGCUAUUGAGUCCCCUGGGGUUUGCAUCCCUUCCCACCGAGGCAAUGGAUUGUUACUGGCAAUCAGGGCGGGAGCUGGUGAUCGUGUGGGCCUGAUCUUUGGUCAGAUUAAAAAAAUCUUACAAGGGAUGGGGCAUUUUGGUGAAAGAAGGAACGACUUCAAUGGGCCUCAUCAAAAAAACGUGGGAGGGUGGUUUGAAUGGGCACGGUGAGGUGGUGGGCUUGGGUGUUACCUUCAGCCAUGAAUCCAGGCAGGUUAGUAUGGGAACGAAUACGUGCAACAAAAUAAGGUUGUUUCCUUGAGGAAAAUAAGGAAACCAAACUUUUGAGCCAAUUAUAUAAUUUUUCAUUGGAAAUAAACUUGAAGAAGGGAACCUUCUACUUGCUUCACGAUGCCUGGUUAGUAUGGGAACGAAUACGUGCAACAAAAUAAGGUUGUUUCCUUGAGGAAAAUGAGGAAACCAAACUUUUGAACCAAUUAUAUAAUUUUUCAUUGGAAAUAAACUUGAAGAAGGGAACCUUCUACUUGCUUCAUGAUGCCUGCAACAUAAAAAUAAUCUGUAACUAAAUUAAAAGGAAUUAAACAUUUGGAGAAAACACUGACAACCGCUGCAAGUUCCACAAGCUGUGGUGAUUCUUCUUCAAGUUCAAUGUCUGAUUCCCAGUUGUGACUGUUAGGGUCUUUCCUUGUGGUAACUGAUUUACAUGAUUUGCCGGAGCCAUCUGUAAAAAUAGUAAGAGCAUUAAGAGGGGUGUGACUUUCUAGGGGUUUUGGAUGAAAUUCAAAGGAAGGUGUAGUAACUUAUGCUUUGGAAAAUGAACUGAGAUUUGUCUGGGA